UCCGAAGAUUAUAAAGUACAUCGAAGACAUGAAUUUUUCCAGACAUUUGUACUCGGAAUUAAAUAAAUUGGAAAAGUCACCUUGAAAAAUAGGAGGAGGGGUCAGUGUCACCUUAUUNNNNNNNNNNNNNNNNNNNNNNGGGGGGGGGGGGGGGGGGGGGAUCCCAAUGUGAUUUUGAUCAGAUAUGUUGCAUUUAAAUCAUUUUAGGUUCUAUGAGACACCAUUUCCGCAUUCUCAAAAUUGCGUUGCUUUUUCAUACGAUACAGAAUAAAUUUGAGAAGAAAUAUUCAUGCUAUGAUGAUGCAUACAUGUAUUUAACAGUUAAAAAUCUAAACUAAAUCUAUUCUUCUUGGAACCAGCAUUUUAUCGGAUUGUUUGCAUGAAAUCUAUCGCUAUUAUGAAAUACUCGGUGAAGAACAAUAUGAAUUACACACAAGAUGGCUGUGGAGGGGGAUAUGGAAGGGCAUAAUCUCAUCAUCAAGUAAAUCAACUGCAAUUCUGACAGCAAUCAUGAGCAAUUCUGCUUCGCACUUCGGGCCAGAAAUG
rnacentral:lncRNA from 1 species